rnacentral:SRP_RNA from 1 species
UCCAGGCGCAGUGGCGCGUGCAUUAGUCCCAGCUACUCAGGAGGCUGAGGUGGGAGGAUUGCUUGAGCCCAGGAGUUCUGGGCUGUAGUGUGCUAUGCUGGUCAGGUGUCCACACUAAGUUCAGCAUCAAUAUGGUGACCUUCCGGGAGCGGAAAACCACCAGACUGUCUAAGGAGGGGUGAACCGGCCCAGGUCAGAAGUGGAGCAGGUCAAAACUCCCGUGCUGAUCAGUAGUGGGAUUGCGCCUGUGAAUAGUCACUGCACUCCAGCCUGGGCAACAUAUCGAGACCCUGUCUCUC